GACGAACGCUGGCGGCGUGCCUAAUACAUGCAAGUUGAGCGCUGAAGGUUGGUACUUGUACCAACUGGAUGAGCAGCGAACGGGUGAGUAACGCGUGGGGAAUCUGCCUUUGAGCGGGGGACAACAUUGGGAAACGAAUGCUAAUACCGCAUAAAAACUUUAAACACAAGUUUUAAGUGUGAAAGAUGCAAUUGCAUCACUCAAAGAUGAUCCCGCGUUGUAUUAGCUAGUUGGUGAGGUCAAGGCUCACCAAGGCGAUGAUACAUAGCCGACCUGAGAGGGUGGUCGGCCACCUUGGGACCGGGACACGGCCCAAACUCCUUCGGGAGGCAGCCGUAGGGAAUCUUCGGCCAUAGACGAAAGUCUGACCGAGCAACGCCGCGUGAGUGAAGAAGGUUUUCGGAUCGUAAAACUCUGUUGGUAGAGAAGAACGUUGGUGAGAGUGGAAAGCGCAUCAAGUGACGGUAACUACCCAGAAAGGGACGGCUAACUACGUG
rnacentral:rRNA from 1 species